CAAUCCACUAAGCAAACAUGUACUCAAGAAAAUUGACAAAUUAUACCAAGCAAGUGUUUCACUCAAUCACUCAAGUGUUUAAGGUUACACUCCACUCUCUAUUGUUCACAAGUCACAUGAAACAAAAUUGCCAUUCAUCUCAAACAAUCAACAUCUUUCAUGCAAAUGUCAUCAAAAGGACUUUUCCAAGCUUGUAAUGAGGUUGGGCUAACAAGAAAAAUUGGUUUUUCUAGAAUGCAAAAUCCUUGAGUCAAGAGAGCUAACAAGACAUUCAAUAUUUACGCACAACUCUCUCUCACCAAAAUUUCUCAUUCACAACUUCUUCCCUUUUCUUUUUCUUUUUCAUUGAGCUCAUCUUCAUGCUUUUCUUCUUUACUUUUCUUUUUCUCAUGAAUUUUUCUCUUUUCACAACAAUUGAGCUCAAUGCCUUUUACUUGCGUUUUCAAUUUUCCCCCGUACAACCCCAAACUUGAACCUUUUCAUCUCAUAUAAUUAACCUCAUCCCAACUCAAGGUAAAGAGUUUCAAAACAAGGGUUCACAUCCUGUUUAAGGCCAAGGUUCAAAAAGGGUAUAAUAUUUCAAAUACUUUGGGUGAAAAUUUGGCUAGAGAAGGGUUUUCAACAAUGGCCUUGAUCAUAUGACAUUUACAUGCAAUUCAAUCAAUCAUCAAGGUUAAGGCAAUAUCAUCCAUGUUUUCCUGUGAACAAUACAUGCAACAAUAAAAACUCUGGAGCUCUAAAUCUCACACACAUGCUUCCUCACACAAAAUUCAUUCAUACACCAUGCCUAGCAUCAUGACCACAAUCAUAAAUUCAUCACCCAUCUAUUUCCCGAAUAUCAUCAUGCACAUCAACUAGUCAAACAUUUUCAGAACAAGUAAUAAAGCCAAGAAUACACACCAAAAGUAAAAUUCAACCUAUUUUAUGAAUUUAAAAUGCAAAAGUGUAAGAAGAAAUCUAGGUUGCCUCCUAGUAGCGCUUGUUUAACGUCACGAGCCUGACCCAAACCUGGUUGGCACUCAUCAGUAAGUGCACUUCCUUCCACCACCCAUCAGUAGGUGUACCUUCCGGAUAUCCUUCAGUGGAUACCAAAAAUUUAGCAUCCCUCAGUAGAUGCUACCCAAAAAUUGUUCCAAAAACCAAAUAAUUACAAGUUUUUUUUUUUAAAUAAACCUAGACUAAAAAUGAAAAAUAAAAAAAAAAUGUUUUACAACAAUUGGGAUGACCCCAACAAACACCCAUCAGUAGGUGUUGAAAUUCUUCCCGCUUGAUAUUCUUUUCUUUUUCUUCUUCCUACUGAAUUCCUUCAUAAAGUUGAGAACACCAAGCACAUGUUUCCAUGUAUCAAUCAUAGGAACUUUAAUCUCCAAUUUCUUGAAGAUCUCCAUAAAGUACUUGAACUUCUUUUCCUUCCUAUGAUUCUUUUUUUGACGAGGAGGAGGCUUUUCAUAUGAUCUUUUCUUCUUUCCUCUCCUCCUCUUUUUCUUAAUUUUCUCCUUCCUUAACCUUCUUUUUUUCUUUUUCUUUUCUUUCUUUAUUUUCACUUUCUUUCUCUUUUUUUCUUUUCUUUCAACCACGACUUUUCCUUUCUCAUCCUUCUUCUCACUCUCAUUCAACUUUUCU
rnacentral:lncRNA from 1 species